rnacentral:sRNA from 1 species
CUUUUUAUUAAUGUUUAACAAAAUUACAAUGCCUUAACCAUGAGUAUGAUGAAUAUGACUAUAACUGCAACGACAAAGUUUUCUUUCAAAACUACAUGUGCGAAUAUACCUAUCUCUUCUCAUACAAGCUCUUGCGCAAUCAAAACAAUAACCAAUUUUGCCUAUUUUAAGUAUUUGGUUCAGUGAACGUGGAUCGAAAGGACUUGCUACUGGAUUGAAAGGAUAUAUUCUCUCUUCUUCACUAGAUUCCUUUAUAAGUAUUGAUGUACCUAUCAAAUUUUGA